UAAGGAAUAUUGGUCAAUGGACGCAAGUCUGAACCAGCCAUGCCGCGUGAAGGAUGAAGGUCCUCUGGAUUGUAAACUUCUUUUAUCUGGGACGAAAACGGGAUUUUUAUCUCAAUUGACGGUACCAGAGGAAUAAGCACCGGCUAACUCCGUGCCAGCAGCCGCGGUAAUACGGAGGGUGCGAGCGUUAUCCGGAUUUACUGGGUUUAAAGGGUGCGUAGGUGGGCGUAUAAGUCAGUGGUGAAAUCUCCGAGCUUAACUUGGAAACUGCCGUUGAUACUAUAGGUCUUGAAUUAUCUGGAGGUAAGCAGAAUAUGUCAUGUAGCGGUGAAAUGCUUAGAUAUGACAUAGAACACCAAUUGCGAAGGCAGCUUACUACAUAUAAAUUGACGCUGAGGCACGAAAGCGUGGGGAUCAAAC
rnacentral:rRNA from 1 species